UCUCCUCACAAAGGAGGCGCCAAAACAAAGCCUUUCCCACGCCAUGACGAGGCCGAUGGAAGAAGGAGGCCCCAGUGGGACUCCGAGCUCCUCCGGCGGCCUUCCUAAGCCACCUCGUCCUCCGCCUUUAUCAUCUUUCCCUCGUGCCGCGGCUCAAGAGCCGGCACCGCUGCCCUCGGCCUGGUCAGGUUGCGAUCUCCUCACGAGCUACUCCCUCUGCGACCUCGAGGAGGAGCUCCAGAAUGCGUGCGCGAGCAUGGUCGUCCCUUCCUCCUCGGAUCGUUUUUAACCAGAGGCAGUUCUUGAAUGAGGAUCGAAUUGGAAAACAGAAAGAUUCAUAUCAUGUAAGCGACCAGCAAUGUGUGCAAGAAAUCUUUGAUGGCUAUGGUUACCUGUAAAAGUAGCUCAAAAGCAAGCAGCUCAUGCUCUCGGUCCUGGAGGAGGAGGCCGAGGACACGUCUCUCCCUCAACUUCUGCAGCACGAUGACGCUCAGAAAUGCUGCUCCAAGUGCCAGAAGCAGCAGCAGACCAUAGGACUUCUUCCUGUUAUUGCCUGCCAUCAUGGUGCCCUUGUGUAGGGACCUCGAUGCCAAUCUCAUCUCCCUCCCCUCUCCAACCUUCUCUCUUUAAAGGGACUGGAGAAUAUGGCUUGUUCUUCCUUGCAUCAACCACAAGAAAGAUGGCAUGAGAACAUGAUGGAAUUUUCAAUGACCAUCCAUGUCCAUGAGGGUGCUGUGCUAAGCUGGAUGAGGUACAAAGACAGAUUGCUUGACACACAUACUGAUGCCAUAUCAGCAUCAUAUUCCUCCUACAAAGUGAGGUGAUUGGUAAUUUUCGAUCCGGGCAGACCAAUCCUCUUUUUGUGGUUCAGGUACUCCUCCUCUUAAGCCACCUACUCUUCUUUUCGAUCUGACAAGAGAUCGAUACAAGUCUGGUACAUGAGAUAAUAUUUGUUGAGCAGUUCCAUUUUGUUGGCAUGUUGAAGAAAUAAUAUAAGCUGCAAAACUGUGCUACCAUAUUAUAAAUGGAAGCACAACCAUGCAGAGUGUGGAUGAAGAGUUGCCACCGGACUCCUUGGAAUGAGAGAAAGCUUAUAUUAAGGCGCAAGAGUGAGGACUCUCUGAGCACCAACUUCCAUGGUUUUUUAUAUGUACAACAAGUAUGGUGAGGGAGGCAUUGGAAUGGUUGCCAGUGAUCAUCGUCAUUUUUAUAUAUAGCUUCUUCUCUGUCCGAAAGGCUUAUCAUGCAAGAAAGUAAGUAAAGGCUUUGUUGACUUAAAGGAUUUGUCGGAUAUUGAUCUGAGGUGUAUG